UUUCUUUCUUUUUUUUUUCCCAGUUGCAGAUUGGCAGCUACGCACCAUGCAGCUAGCUUGCUAGAUGGGCGUCACUGUUCUUGGCCGGCGGCUAGCCCGAGUGCGCUGCAGUUUCUCUGUCUGUCAAUAAGUUCACCGAAUCAACGUACAGGAAAAUGCAAGUUUAGGAGUGAACACCGCCUCUUCUUCCCGAGAUUUGUCGCCGGUCACGACACGAAAGACGCCUGCAGGACUUGCGGUGCACGUCCAACAGUGACUGAAUUAGGUGCCACUGCUUGGGGUCCGACAAAGAAAAACUCGAAAGUAACGUAAAGAUUGUACAGGAACAAAGGGCCGUGUUGCAGGCGCGAAGCGGUGGAAUGUCUUCCGUCAGCGACUUGGAAGAGGAAGAUGUGGGGGCAAGAGGCUGUCGGUGGAGCGCAUCUACCAGAAGAUGAGCCAGCUGGAGCACGUUCUGCUGCGCCCGGACACGUACGUCGGCUCCGUCGAGCCCGCCACGCAAAACAUGUGGGUGUACGACCCCGAAGACGACGGCGGUGGCAUGAAGCAUGACAUUGUCACUGCCGAGCAGAUUACAGGGCGCCUUAUCGUGCUAGUGCUGCAAUUUUAAGAUUUUUAACCAGUUUUAUAUGCAUGUUAAACCACAUUUACUUCUCCACAAUGGAGGAAGCGAGAAUAAUCGGGCUGCUUUUUUUUCCUGCGGCGAUUUGAAAUUAGUUCCAGAAAGUUCCUCACAUAGCUAGUGUGCUGGCAACCUCUGCUGCUCCCUAAUAACAGCUUGCAGUUAAAAUCAAGUUAAGUGUUUUACCUUUGACAGUACUGGCGUGCUAUCAGUCGUAAUAAAUUUGCAACGUAUUUAAGGAUUUACCUCUUUA